AGAGAGAGAGACAGGUAGAGAGAGAGAGACAGGUAGAGACAGAGAGACAGACAGAGAGAGAGAGACAGGUAGAGAGAGAGACAGGUUAGAGAGAGAGAGACAGGUAGAGACAGGUCAGAGAGAGAGACAGGUAGAGAGAGAGAGACAGGUCAGAGAGAGAGACAGGUAGAGAGAGAGAGAGAGAGAC